rnacentral:tRNA from 1 species
AGGCGGAUAGCUCAAUGUUAGAGCGCCUCCAUCACACGGAGGAGGGUGCAGUGUUCAAAUCCUGCUCCGCCUACCA